AGUGAACGCUGGCGGUAGGCCUAACACAUGCAAGUCGAACGGCAGCACAGUAAGAGCUUGCUCUUACGGGUGGCGAGUGGCGGACGGGUGAGGAAUACAUCGGAAUCUACUUUUUCGUGGGGGAUAACGUAGGGAAACUUACGCUAAUACCGCAUACGACCUACGGGUGAAAGCAGGGGAUCUUCGGACCUUGCGCGAUUGAAUGAGCCGAUGUCGGAUUAGCGAGUUGGCGGGGUAAAGGCCCACCAAGGCGACGAUCCGUAGCUGGUCUGAGAGGAUGAUCAGCCACACUGGAACUGAGACACGGUCCAGACUCCUACGGGAGGCCGCAGUGGGGAAUAUUGGACAAUGGGCGCAAGCCUGAUCCAGCCAUACCGCGUGGGUGAAGAAGGCCUUCGGGUUGUAAAGCCCUUUUGUUGGGAAAGAAAAGCAGCAGGUUAAUACCCCGCUGUUCUGACGGUACCCAAAGAAUAAGCACCGGCUAACUUCGUG
rnacentral:rRNA from 1 species